UACAGAGGGUGCAAGCGUUAAUCGGAAUUACUGGGCGUAAAGCGAGCGUAGUCGGUUAUUUAAGUCGGAUGUGAAAUCCCCGGGCUCAACCUGGGAAUUGCAUUCGAUACUGGAUAGCUAGAGUUCGGCAGAGGGAAGCGGAAUUUCUGGUGUAGCGGUGAAAUGCGCAGAUAUCGGGAGGAACACCGGUGGCGAAGGCGGUUCUCUGGGCCUUACCUGACGCUGAGGAGCGAAAGCGUGGGGAGCGAACAGG
rnacentral:rRNA from 1 species